rnacentral:lncRNA from 1 species
AUGUAUUCCUGCUCAUUUGGAUUCUGAGUUCUGAAAGUAUUGUGUAUUAUAACCAAUUGUGUAGGCUUCAAGGUCAAUUUAAUAUUAGAAGACAGGUUAAUGUAAUUGAUAUAAUUCACAAUAUUAAAAGAUUAAAGAAGAAAAUCGUAUCAAAAGAUGUGUAAAAAGUUUUUGAUAGAAUUCAGCAUCCUUUCACUUACAAGAACUCUUAGACACUAAAAAUAGAAGGGAAUUUUUUUAACCUGACAGACUAUCUGAAACCCCACACCUAAUGGUGAAACACAGAAAGCAUUCUGUAUUAGGUACAAGACAGAUGAUUGCUACUGCCUCUUCUAUACAGCAUUGCACUAGGUGUUCAGAAAACUUAAAAAUGCAUAAAUGUUCCAAAGAAAGUUGUAAAUCUGUGAUUAGAAAUUGUUUUAGAGGUUAUAUAUAAAGAAAAGAGGCAAGGUGCGGUGGCUCAUGCCUGUAAUUCCAGUUCCCAGUACUUUGGGAGGCUGAGAUGGGAGGAUCACUCCAGUCCAGGAAUUCAAGACCAACCUGGGCAAGAGAAUGAGACUCAGACUCUACAAAAAAAUUUAAAAAUUAGCCUGGCAUGGUGGUACACACCUGUGAUCCCAGCUACACGGGACACUGAGGCAGGAGGAUCACUUGAGCACAGAAGUUUGUGGCUGCAAUAAACCCUAUUUCUGCUACUGCACUUCAGCCUGGACAAUGAGUAACUUGCUGCUCCUCACUCUUCUGGGUCCACGCCGGCUUUAUGAACUGUAACACUCACCUCGAAGGGCUGCAGCUUCACUCCUGUAGCCAGCGAGACCACAAAGCCACCGGGAAGAAGAAACAACUCCAGACGUGCCGCAUUUAAGAACUGUAACAUUCACUGCAAAGGUCUGCAGCGUCACUCCUGAAGUCAGCGAGACCACGAACCCACCAAAAGGAAGAAACUGCAGACACAUCUGAAGGAAUAAACUCUGGACACACCAUCUUUAAGAACUGUAACACUCACCGCAAGGGUCUGUGGCUUCGUUCUUGAAGUCAGCGAGACCAAGAACCCACAAAUUCCAGACACAAUAUGGGUGGACCCUAAUCCAGUGCAACAGUUGUCUUGAGAAGAGGAGUUGAGGACACAGACAACACAAAGGAAUGACCGGAUGAGGACAGAGUGAGAACGUAGCCAUCUGCAAGUCACGGGGAGAGGCCUCAGAAGAAAGGAAACUUAGAGACCUUAAUUUUGGACUUCUAGAUUCUAGAACUGUGAGAAAAUAAAUUUCCAUUGUUUAAGCCACCAAUAUCUGUUAUGGCAGACCUAGAAAAUAAAUACAUCUCC